rnacentral:rRNA from 1 species
UACGAAGGGGGCUAGCGUUGCUCGGAAUCACUGGGCGUAAAGCGCACGUAGGCGGACUCUUAAGUCAGGGGUGAAAUCCUGGAGCUCAACUCCAGAACUGCCUUUGAUACUGGGAGUCUUGAGUUCGGGAGAGGUGAGUGGAAUUCCGAGUGUAGAGGUGAAAUUCGUAGAUAUUCGGAGGAACACCAGUGGCGAAGGCGGCUCACUGGUCCACUACUGACGCUGAGGUGCGAAAGCGUGGGGAGCAAACAGG